rnacentral:rRNA from 1 species
UACGGGGGGGGCAAGCGUUGUUCGGAAUUACUGGGCGUAAAGGGCUCGUAGGCGGCCAACUAAGUCGGACGUGAAAUCCCUCGGCUUAACCGGGGAACUGCGUCCGAUACUGGAUGGCUUGAGUUUGGGAGAGGGAUGCGGAAUUCCAGGUGUAGCGGUGAAAUGCGUAGAUAUCUGGAGGAACACCUAUUGCGAAGGCAGCUCGCUGGGACGUAACUGACGCUGAGACGCGAAAGCGUGGGGAGCAAACAGG